rnacentral:rRNA from 1 species
GACGGGGGGGGCAAGUGGUUCUUCGGAAUGACUGGGCGUCAAGGGCACGUAGGCGGUGAAUCGGGUUGAAAGUGAAAAGUCGCCAAAAAGAUGGCGGAAUGCUCUCGAAACCAAAUUCACUUGAGUGGGACAGAGGAGAGUGGAAUUUCGUGUGUAGGGGUGAAAUCCGUAGAUCUACGAAAGGAAGGCCAAAAGCGAAGGCAGCUCUCUGGGACUCCCUACCCGACGCUGGGGGUGCGAAACAU